rnacentral:lncRNA from 1 species
GCACACAUACAGAUGCAAACAUAUGUACACACAUACAUACACAUGUAUGUAUGUGUAUGUGUAUGUGUGCGUGUAUGCCUGUGUGUAUCAAACUUUCCAUGAAAGACCACAUGACCCAUAAUUAAAGCAUUAUCUUUUUUAUGCUCAAUUUUUUCUCAUAUUUUUAAAUCUCUGGCUUAUAUACAAAUCUCAUAGAUUGUAUUUUCUUGUACGCAAAAGGUUAUUAUGUUCACAACUCCCACAGUUUGACAAUAUGCACAAUAUAUCAGAUUUUGAUGAUUUUAAAUAAUUUUCAAGAUUCAACAUCAGAGGCGAAGCUAUUGUGCCUUGUUAUAGCACGGCGGGCUUAGAAAAUAUGCAGUUUUGGUAUCAAAAACAACUGAGGCACACAAUAUGUCAGAAUUUCAACAAUAACAUUUUUCUUAUCAUUGUUUGCAUUUUAAAAUAUCACCAGCACCCGACUGAAGCAUUCCAACAGGUAACCCCUCUAGACCCAGUAAACUCGAACAGAGUCAAACAACCCUAACACUGUUGCUUGCUAUUUUAGUUUCGUCUUUGUGAUUGACUUCAUCAAGGAAACCCAGAAAGCUUGCUCGGUGACAGAAGAAGAAACAAAGUACAGAAAUCCCUCAGAUGUAACUGAGUACCUUAAUAUUAAAACUGAAGCAAUUUAACUUUUUUUUUCUACAGAAAUAGUAGCAAGACCACUAAUUCGAAGCAGGAUUGCCAGAACUAAACAAACACAAAAGGAUUAUGCAGAAUAAAAUAAUAAGCAGAUAAAACUUCUCGAGAGAGUCGGACACACGUACAUGUGAUGAGCGCUGAAAGGAAGCUCGGCAUCCCUCUCGCCGCCUCCUUAACAUCUUCCAAACCAGCCCCAACUUUUCUACUCCCCAUCCACCACCUU